rnacentral:rRNA from 1 species
AUUGAACGCUGGCGGCAGGCUUAACACAUGCAAGUCGAGCGGGGUGAUGGUGCUUGCACUAUCACUUAGCGGCGGACGGGUGAGUAAUGCUUAGGAAUCUGCCUAUUAGUGGGGGACAACAUCUCGAAAGGGAUGCUAAUACCGCAUACGUCCUUCGGGAGAAAGCAGGGGAUCACUUGUGACCUUGCGCUAAUAGAUGAGCCUAAGUCGGAUUAGCUAGUUGGUGGGGUAAAGGCCUACCAAGGCGACGAUCUGUAGCGGGUCUGAGAGGAUGAUCCGCCACACUGGGACUGAGACACGGCCCAGACUCCUACGGGAGGCAGCAGUGGGGAAUAUUGGACAAUGGGGGGAACCCUGAUCCAGCCAUGCCGCGUGUGUGAAGAAGGCCUUAUGGUUGUAAAGCACUUUAAGCGAGGAGGAGGCCCUUUCGGUUAAUACCCAAGAUGAGUGGACGUUACUCGCAGAAUAAGCACCGGCUAACUCUGUGCCAGCCGCCGCCGUAA